rnacentral:rRNA from 1 species
CCUACGGGUGGCAGCAGUGGGGAAUAUUGGACAAUGGGCGAAAGCCUGAUCCAGCCAUGCCGCGUGUGUGAAGAAGGCCUUCGGGUUGUAAAGCACUUUCAGUGGGGAAGAAAGCCUUGGGGCUAAUACCCUCGAGGAAGGACAUCACCCACAGAAGAAGCACCGGCUAACUCCGUGCCAGCAGCCGCGGUAAUACGGAGGGUGCGAGCGUUAAUCGGAAUUAUUGGGCGUAAAGCGCGCGUAGGCGGUCUGAUAAGCCGGUUGUGAAAGCCCCGGGCUCAACCUGGGAACGGCAUCCGGAACUGUCAGGCUAGAGUGCAGGAGAGGAAGGUAGAAUUCCCGGUGUAGCGGUGAAAUGCGUAGAGAUCGGGAGGAAUACCAGUGGCGAAGGCGGCCUUCUGGACUGACACUGACGCUGAGGUGCGAAAGCGUGGGUAGCAAACAGGAUUAGAUACCCCAGUAGUC